rnacentral:rRNA from 1 species
AUUGAACGCUGGCGGCAGGCCUAACACAUGCAAGUCGAACGAGUGGCGGACGGGUGAGUAAUGUCUUGGCCACUGCCCGAUGGCGGGGGAUAACUACUGGAAACGGUAGCUAAUACCGCAUACCAUCGGCUCGUCCCAUAUGGGAUUAGCUAGUAGGUGGGGUACUGGCUCACCUGGGAGACGAUCCCUACCUGGACUGAGAGGAGGCCCACCGACACUGGAACGGGGACACGGUCCAUACGACUACGGGAGGGAGCAGAGGGGAAUAGUGGACAAUGGGCGGAAGCCUGAUGCAGACAGGCCGAGUGUAUGAAGAAGGCCUUCGGGUUGUAAAGUACUUUCAGCGAGGAGGCGGUACUCGCAGAAGAAGCAGCGGCUAACUCCGUGCCAGCAGCCGCGGUAAUAC